UACGUAGGGACCAAGCGUUGUUCGGAUUUACUGGGCGUAAAGGGCGCGUAGGCGGCCUAGCAAGUCACUUGUGAAAUCUCCGGGCUUAACUCGGAACUGCCAAGUGAAACUGCUGGGCUAGAGUGCAGAAGGGGCAAUCGGAAUUCUUGGUGUAGCGGUGAAAUGCGUAGAUAUCAAGAGGAACACCUGAGGUGAAGACGGGUUGCUGGGCUGACACUGACGCUGAGGCGCGAAAGCGUGGGGAGCGAACAGG
rnacentral:rRNA from 1 species